rnacentral:rRNA from 1 species
UGGGGAAUUUUGGACAAUGGGCGAAAGCCUGAUCCAGCAAUGCCGCGUGUGUGAAGAAGGCCUUCGGGUUGUAAAGCACUUUUGUCCGGAAAGAAAUCCUCUGGGUUAAUACCUCGGGGGGAUGACGGUACCGGAAGAAUAAGCACCGGCUAACUACGUGCCAGCAGCCGCGGUAAUACGUAGGGUGCAAGCGUUAAUCGGAAUUACUGGGCGUAAAGCGUGCGCAGGCGGUUUUGUAAGACGGAUGUGAAAUCCCCGGGCUUAACCUGGGAACUGCAUUCGUGACUGCAAGGCUAGAGUAUGGCAGAGGGGGGUAGAAUUCCACGUGUAGCAGUGAAAUGCGUAGAGAUGUGGAGGAAUACCGAUGGCGAAGGCAGCCCCCUGGGCCAAAUACUGACGCUCAUGCACGAAAGCGUGGGGAGCAAACAGGAUUAGAUACCCUGGUAGUCCACGCCCUAAACGAUGUCAACUAGUUGUUGGGGAUUCAUUUCCUUAGUAACGUAGCUAACGCGUGAAGUUGACCGCCUGGGGAGUACGGUCGCAAGAUU